CCCAGACUCCUACGGGAGGCAGCAGUGGGGAAUAUUGGACAAUGGGCGAAAGCCUGAUCCAGCCAUGCCGCGUGUGUGAAGAAGGCUUUCGGGUUGUAAAGCACUUUCAGUGGGGAAGAAGGCUUGUCGGCCAAUACCCGGCAAGAGCGACAUCACCCACAGAAGAAGCACCGGCUAACUCCGUGCCAGCAGCCGCGGUAAUACGGAGGGUGCAAGCGUUAAUCGGAAUUACUGGGCGUAAAGCGCGCGUAGGCGGCUUGUCACGCCGGGUGUGAAAGCCCCGGGCUCAACCUGGGAACGGCAUCCGGAACGGGCAGGCUAGAGUGCAGGAGAGGAAGGUAGAAUUCCCGGUGUAGCGGUGAAAUGCGUAGAGAUCGGGAGGAAUACCAGUGGCGAAGGCGGCCUUCUGGACUGACACUGACGCUGAGGUGCGAAAGCGUGGGUAGCAAACAGGAUUAGAUACCCUGGUAGUCCACGCCGUAAACGAUGUCGACUAGCCGUUGGGUCCCUUGAGGACUUAGUGGCGCAGUUAACGCGAUAAGUCGACCGCCUGGGGAGUACGGCCGCAAGGUUAAAACUCAAAUGAAUUGACGGGGGCCCGCACAAGCGGUGGAGCAUGUGGUUUUUUUCGAUGCAACGCGAAGAACCUUACCUACCCUU
rnacentral:rRNA from 1 species